rnacentral:lncRNA from 1 species
GCCUGCAGAUGUCCGGGCCUGGCUCCAAGUCUCAGCCUGGGCGGGGCUGGGACAGAACAGGGCCAGGAACAGAAAAAAUAAUCACUUACCUUCUUCCUAUUGAAAGUUUAAAAGUUUGCUUUUUAACACCAACACCUGUCACCUACCUGGAGCUGAUGUUUUGUAUUUUCUGCUCCUGACGAGGUAGAGAUUUGUGAAACGACACAAACACAACAACUAAACAACCCGUCUUUGGAAUCCAGUAUAAUCAUGAACGUCCGUGCACGAGAAAGGCGCAUGGAGACACCUUACAGAGAUGGAAAACACACGCAGACGACAAAGGAUCAGUACCCAAAAGACGCAGAAUUCCUACUGUCAUCAGGAAAGGGACCAGCAGGCCUCCAGCCAGGCUUUCUGUGUGAGUGAAAACAGUUUUUUCCACAGGAAGCACCUCCAGUGUGUCCCAGGAGCCCUUGGAAAUGCCACUGCUGAGUUAUUCCGUCACUUUCCAAAUCAUCCCGCAACAGAAGCUUGUGCCUUCUUGGUCGGUACUUUCUUCUCUUGAGGAUUAGGCAGGUAUACAAGAACACUUCCUGAGCAAGUGCAGGUCACUUUGUCAGAUUAGCAAUGCUGACUCAGUGCAUAGUUUAAAUUUUCAGAAUUUUUAAAAUAACUAAACAACAGCAAACCACUGGAAAUGGUCCGGGCUCCUUCCAGAUCUCAUUGAUUUGGUGCUGUCUUUCCUCAUGGUCACAAGAUGGCUACUACAGCACCAAGCAUCACAUCCUACUUCCAGUGUGCUAAGCCAAAACAAAGGUGGUUAAGAGAGAACGGGCUUUCUCCUCACGUGCCUCUGUCUUCUCAGGAAAGAAAAAUUCCCCAGGAGCCCACAGCAGAAAUCCAUUUUGCUUACGGACCAGGUUGAAGUCAGUCUAUCCCCAGAAUAACUGUUGGCAAAGAGACUUCCGUGACCAGCCCUGAUUCUUCCCCUGGGGCAGGGCAGGCGCCACCUACACAAAGCCUUGUGGGAGCAGAGGUGGCAGAGCUCAGCCAGGGCAGGAACUGCAGAGGGGACGAAGCAGAGACGUUCCCGUUGUGGCGGCGGCUUGAGAGGAUUCAAGGCUGAGUUCCUUCCAGCCCUGACUGUGAUUCUAAAGAAUUUUCCCUCAACACCGAUGGAAGCUUCCAUUACAGAUUCACACUUAGGUGC